UGUGUAGGCGGUUCUUUAAGUUUGGUGUGAAAUCUCCCGGCUUAACAGGGAGGGUGCGCCGAAUACUGAGGGACUAGAGUACGGGAGAGGAAAGUGGAAUUCCUGGUGUAGCGGUGAAAUGCGUAGAUAUCAGGAGGAACACCGGUGGUGUAGACGGCUUUCUGGACCGUAACUGACGCUGAAACACGAAAGCGUGGGUAGCAAACAGGAUUAGAUACCCUGGUAGUCCACGCCCUAAACGAUGCAUAUUUGGUGUGGGCAGUUCAUUCUGUCCGUGCCGGAGCUAACGCGUUAAAUAUGCCGCCUGGGGAGUACAGUCGCAAGGCUGAA
rnacentral:rRNA from 1 species